AAGGUAAAUCGGGUAGUCGAUCAGUCUUUUUACGCCAAGUUUAGAGGCUGAUAGGAAAGUCCGGACUCCACGCAAGAAAAAGGUAGCGGGUAACGCCCGUCUGGAGUAAUCCAAGAGGUGCGAGCAGAGACGCUAAUAUUAGAAAUAAUAUUAGCUCCCAAGUAAUUGGGAUGAGUCUUAAUAGCAAUAUUAAGAGUGAAACGGCUAAAUCCUUACCCGGGAGCAAGGUCGUGUCCUGUGUUUUACGUAAAUACAGGAAGUGCCGCUUUGACCCCGACGGUAACGUCGGGGCUAGAUAAAUGACUACACUCGACAGAAUCCGGCUUAUAGAUUUACCUUGGUA
rnacentral:RNase_P_RNA from 3 species